ACCGAGGCUGCCGAAAUCAUGUUCAGUGUAUGUGGGAUUAAUAAUUUCACCUUUCUCCCUCAAGUGACAGGCCUGUAAAUCCUGUCAUCUGCUCAUUAUUGGUGUUAAUGGUGUUUUUCACAUGCAUGCUUUUUAUGCUAGUUUCAUUCUCAAAUAGAUCUGAUACUUUAGUUUCAACAAAUAUUUAAUAAACAAAUGGUUCACUUUUUUUAGGUCCUGACUGCCACCAGUUGAGUCAAUGAUUCAGUGGAGAGACAGUCUGGGCAGCAGCAACAAGACAACUGUUACAAAUAGAGACGGGUUUCAAAAACUGACACAACCACAUAUCAUCUAAAUCAUCUCCAAGUGGAUGGCAGCAAGGAUCCAGGAUCAAGAGAUCAUUCUUCAUGAAGACUGUUCCAUAGGAAGCAGUGAAUCCUGGGUCAUCCUGACCAUUCUGCUGUCCUGGACGUGAGGACAUGCUGGAACUGCAUUUCUCAUGGUUGAAAGAUUUGUGCAGCAGUAUCCAGAUAUACAAACAGCCUUCCUGGACCCACACGACUAAAGGCUCCGGAGGAGAGACAGGGAAAGAUGAAAAAUAAGGAAGUCUGGGAACGACUGAAGAAGACAGCAGUGAGGAAAGGAAGUAAUCAUCAGAAUCUCAGAGAAGGAUAUUGACGGUGCAGGCUCAGGAUGAAGAAGAGGGGGAAGAACACGUUUAACAAUUUUCUCAUACCUUUGCCAUGUGUUAAAAUAAAAACAAUAAACCUGACUACAAUAAUAUGCUAAAUGUUUUUAAAAGAUUCCAGUUUGCAAGAAAUCUGGAGUCUCUGACUCUACACUAGAGGAACUCUUUCCUGAAGAAGAUCAGGUGCUGAGAAGGAGCCUUGUUCUACAGCAAAACACUGCAUCAAGCCUCCUGUCCUUCCCUCAGAAGAGCCUGUCUUCUGCUGCUGGGGUAAGAAAGACACUCUUCCUCUUCUCUAUCGGCUGUCCAGCACCUUACUCUGCCUCCUCAGCACUGUCUGAAAGAGUCUUCUCCACAGUCAGUUAUCAGAGAUCACACAUUCUCCUGAGAAACUCAACACACUCAUUUUCUAAAAACUGUUUGUGUUUUGAAGUGGGCCAAAUAAUACAGGAGAGAUGCUAGAAAUCUCCAUAUUGUUCAUUUUACAUAUCUUAACUCUUUAUGAAUGAAUGUCUUUUAUCUUCUGAGAAGCUCAAGAACUAUGGUUCUUUGGUAAUUGUAAUAUUGUUUAGGUUUAUCUUCUGAUAGUAAAGCAGUAUUAAAGCACAUCACCAGACAUUUGUAGCAGGUGCCUCAUAUAGGACGCUCGGGAAACAAUUGAACUUUUCUUCUGCAAAAAAGUAAUGAAGUAUCUACUGAAUUGUUUCAUAUCUUUUUAUCAUGUCUUUAUUUUUUUUGCACCAAAUUAUGGAGAGUUGUAUUAAUGAGACUACUCGUAGUUAUUAAUAAUUUUCACUGAUAACAUAAUUAACUAUGUCCAUCCUUAAGACAAACUUUUUCAAUUGAUUAUAUUGCGUAAUCUAUGAAUUGAUGUGUUCAGUUUUCUGCGCUCAUGACUUGGUAACACUUUGCAUGGUUAAAGAAUGGGUUUAAUGUUCAAAAUGUUUUGGCUUAGUAUUUGUAGAAAAUAGCACUGAAUAAAUGUUGAUUCAUGAAUGAAUGCAUUGUGUUUUUGUCUAUUUUCUAUUACAAUUUAAUGUUUUUGUAUUAGUUUGCAUUGCAUGUAUGUAUGUAAUGAAUGUAUUUACUAUAAAUCUCUAUAAUUAGAUUACUAUUAGAUUGUAUAAGGUUUUUUUUUGCACCAG